UUCCCAGUAGCCGUGCUCUCUAACUUAUCCACAUCUGUACUUGCUGACGGGGAUUAAGCAUCUGUUUGGCAUCUGGAACAGGACUCCCAUACUGACUCCUAGGGCUGCUGGCAUUUAUUCCCUUUGGGUCACUUUCUAGGUGCUUUUGUAUGUGUCCAUUCCUGACUUCUGCCAUAAACUUCUCCCUGGCUGUGUGGGAGGUGUACAAGAAGGUGCUGUCACCCCUGCUGGGAAGGUCUUCCCUGGAAUACAUGCACGCCAUGUAAUCUUCUGAAAUUAUAGUAGUGUGAAUAACUAUUAAAUCAGUGGACUUCAGGUCUGGAUCAUUGUCCACGUGCUUUGGUUUGCAAAUGCUUCUUUCUUCCACUUCUUCUCACCUACCAUCAGUUUUGACAACUGGAUUCCUCUCCUGUGGUGUGCCAGUGUCUUGGGAUAUGCAGUGGCUGCAUUUGCAACGAUGAAAGGCUGCUAUUUCCCUGCCCCUGCAAAAGACUGGUAUGUGAGUUUUAGUAAUGAGAGAAUACUGGUAUCAGAGAUUAAAACUGCUAACUAAAAUUCGAGUAUAUAAAUGGAAUGACAGAGGCACAGGGAGCUAGGCCAGUGUAUGGCAGUGGUUCUAAGCAGUGUAUAGCUUCACUAGCACCAUCCCCUGUGUCUCAUGCUGAAUGCCAUGGCACUGGCAGCUUCAGUGUCACAAGUACACCCACAGAGGAGGUUUGAUUGUUGGUUGCUUGUCAAGGGAUGAACGGUGGAAAUGCUGAACUGCAGAACCUGAUCUUAAACAAAAGUUUGUGAAAACUCUUAUAAAUUAGUGGCAUUUUCAGCACCUGACAAUAUGGAACAUGACCAACUGAGUUUUAUUUUGAUACUGAAACCAGACUUUAUGGAGCUACUGAGCUGAGCAGGUUGGCCUGGGGUAGUAGCUGGUAUGGGCAACUUUUGGAUUUGAGCUUGAAACAGUGUUGCUAACACAGGGAUGUUUUCACUGUUGCUGAGCAGUGUUUACACAGCAUCAAGGCCUUUUCUGCGUCUCGCCCCACCCACCAGGGAGUGGGCUGGGUGAGCAGAAGGAGCUGGCAGGGGACACUGCUUACCUCAACUGACCCAAGGAAUAUCCUGGGCCAUAUGGCAUCAUGCUCAGCACAUAAAGCUGGAGGAAGAAGAAAAUGGGGGUGUCAGGAGUGAUAGUAUUUGCCAUUCCAAGUCACCAUUAUCAUCACAUUAUCAUGUGAUGGAGCCCUGCUUUCCUGGAGAUGGCUGAACAUUUGCCUGCAGAUUG